GGUAACCUAGAGUUGAGAGAUGGAGGAAGAGAUACAGAAUCUGGAUGGCUAUGCUCUGAUCCUGUAAUCCGACUAUGCCUGAAUGUGGAUCUACCUUCCAAAGGACUUCUCCAGCUCCAUUUACAGUCUGGCUCCUGGGCCUUUGGAUCCCAGCAGUGUCCGAGCAGGAGCUCAAAGGACAGCCCCACCAUGGGGGAUCAGCCCUAGAAGCUGUCACUACAUCUCCAACGGACGCAACUAUUUUCCAGGAACACCGGGGGAGAGAGCCAACAACAGCACAGUGGCCCCGGACCGUGACCCUUGGACUGAAGGAACCUACAGAUGUGGUUUUUUUUGGUGACAUUUUACAUGCAACUCCAGAUUUCAAACUCUUUUGGAGAAGCAGGCAAUCUGGCAACAGUCGUUUUGGAUUCUCAGAAGGCAAUAAAGAACAGCUGCCACCUUCCGAGGGGCACGGUGGAUGCCCUGUUCUGCCAGAAUUGCCAACACGUUUAUCGUCUUAGACUUGCCCAAGGUGUCGCAGUUAGAGACUGCCUCCCUUAUUCACGCUCCUGCCUGGUGCCCGUGGGCUUGAAUUUGCUCCCCUUGGAGUGGGGUGAGGCUCUGCAGACACUUCUCAUACACCUCCCCUGCAGACAGCAAGCUCCUGGAACACAAGUCACAUGCAUUUCAUUUCCUGCUCUCUUGCUACCACCCAACAUGGGCUCUCAAUACAUGUUGAAAGCAAGGAUCAAUGAAUAAAUGGGCAACUAUCAGCUGUAGACUUGUAUGUGCCAGGUAUGGUGCUAGGCAUGCUAGGCACCAAAAGGGCCACAGAGGUGUUACAUGCCAGGAUAUCAGGGAGUUCAUGACAUAGUGAGGGAAAGAAAAAGCUUAUGCAGUGUGUGUGUGAAACUUUAAGCAAACAUGGUGCAUAACAAUAACAGGAAUGACUUUGCCUGCCCCUGAUGAAACUUCAGCAGGGCUAUGCCCUGUCUUGCCACCUUUAGGAAACAGCAGUCUUAUAGUCCUUUGCCCCUCUGAGUUACAACCACUGUCUCCUUUCAGGAGAAUGCCCAGUGUUAUAUCAUAAUCAAGGCUUUGAACUUGAUGUGGCAUUACAUGUUCUUCCAUCUCCCCAGCCACCUGAGAAGGGAGAUGGGGUAGCUUUUCUCUCUCACUCUCUCUCCCCCAACCCCUCCUUUUCCCACCGGCAGGUGAAUGAGCUUCCUGCCCAUAGGAGAAAGGGUAAAAUCACAAGGUGGUGCCCUUGUCUCCAAAUCUCAAGGUCCUCUGGAUGGCAGGUGAGUAAAGGUGACUCUUGUGAUUAUGGGUGUUUUGGGUGUUCCUCAGAGAUCCCCCAAACUGGGGUCUUGUCCACCAUUCCCAGGACUCUGCCAUGUGGAGCCAUGGGAAUGUGAAGUUCACCUCACACUUCCUUUCAGCUGAGGUCACCACACAGCCCCUACCAGCCCGGCUAUAUUGGGUGGGAUUUCAGAUGCCCCCACAAUGGCUGCCUUGGAGACUUUCCACUGGUCCUCAAGAAGCAACAACGCUCCCCUUGCUCUGCCUUUGGUGGAGGGCAAUUCCUCCUCUCUCUCUGCCUGGCCCCAGGCUGCUUCCACUGUCUCAGAAACUGGUCCCCGGAUUCCCCCAGUUACAGAGAACCCUCAUCAAGCUCUCAAGUGGCCACUGAAACCCAGGCUCUCUAGGCUCUGGAGUAUGGAAGUGACAGCUCCAUUUAAUUUCUCCUUUCCUCUUGUAGGCUUACAGCAUAGCACUCUCCCAAGAAAUCAUCCAAAAAUUACCUCAACCAUUCUAUAGACCCCAAGCUGACCAGGGGAGGGAGGACCAAGAAUCUUGAAACGUAAAUACUACAUUUGAUGGUCUCCUUCAGACUUAUUUUGGGAUCUGAUAUCUCUUUAACAAAAAUUAUAAAAAUUGAGGCAAAGAGAGCCCCAUUUUUUAUAUACUGUUCUAAUAAAUAACAGGUACCCUUAGAAGAAUGCAGACAAACACUCCUAUGGAAAUUUAAAGGAGCAUAAGACUUCUUGCAGUAUAGGGAGAGAACCAAGGAAGACUUCCUGGAGGAAAUGGCCAUUGAACUGGGCCUUGGACAUGUGGAGGUGAGGGAUGAGAGUAUUCCAGAUGAAGAGUCCAGCAUAGGGAAGGCCCACAGGAAGGAAUUGUGCUGUAUUAAUGCUGUCUUAGAGGCAUUUCCAUUGCCAGACACAGAUACUCAAAUUACUUCAGAGAGAGAGAGAGAGAGUAUUGAAAGGGUUUCUGUGAAUACCUCCACAACUGUGGUUCUCAAAGUGUAAUCCCUGGGCCAGCAGCAUCGGCAUCACCUGGGAACUUGUUAGAAAUGCAGAUUCCCAGGCUGGGUGCAGUGGCUCACGCCUGUAACCCUAGCACUUUGGGAGUCCGAGGUGGGUGGAUCACCUGAGGUUGGGAGUUUGAGACCAGCCUGACCAACAUGGAGAAACCCUGUCUCUACUAAAAAUACAAAAAGCCAGGUGUGGUGGCGCAUGCCUGUAAUCCCAGCUGCUUGGGAGGCUGAGGCAGGAGAAUCGCUUGAACCCGGGAGGCAGAGGUUGCGGUGAGCCGAGAUUGCACCACUGCACUCCAGCCUGGGUAACAAGAGCGAAACUCCACCGAAGAAAGAAGAGAGAGAGAGAGGGAGAAAGAAAGAAAGGAGAAAGAGAGAAAGAAAGAAAAAGAAAGAAAGAAAAGAAAAGAAAAAAGAAAGGAAAAGAAAAGGCAAAUUCACCAGAGCCUUUGAAUCAGAAAAGAACCCCCAGGGGCUGGUGGUAGCAGUCCUUGCACAGGCCCUCCAGGUGAUUCUCAUCCAGGGAAGCCUGCGAGCCCUUGAGGUGGAAUAUUCUCAGGAAUCCCUGAGAUAUGUGAAGAACUGAUGGCAUAGGCUAUUUCUAGGGAGGAAAUGGGGCUGCUGGGUGCACAGAUGAGGGGAGGUGGGAGACCUCUGUAAUUGUGUACCAUGUGCAUAUAUUACCUAUUCAGAGAAUAAUAAAACAAUGCGUUUAAUCCCC
rnacentral:lncRNA from 10 species